GCGUGCAGUGAUGAUAUGGUUUAAGCAUUUGAGGAAGAAAAUACCAUUAUAUUGUUCACUGGCUAUUUCAUUUUUGGCUUGUCAUGUUGCUAGGGAAGCAAUUUUGCCAACAAGACAUAAUGAAGUGGUCAAUUGAAGGAAAGCUUCCAUAUUUUGUUGCUCAUGUUGAAAUUGAAAAGCGCCUUGAGCGUUCUUCACCAGCUUGUCCCAUCAGUUCAACCUUAAUGUUUAGGCCUUCUCAAACAGUUCCGAUACAGAAGUUGGAAUCAAUGGCAGCGACCAUUGCUGAGUCCAUAGGCUUGCAUUUACCUCCAGUGAACUUCUAUGAAAUAGCUUCUUGCUAUCUCAAGAAGCUCUCUCUUCCAGUCGAUAAGAUUCUUCCACA
rnacentral:misc_RNA from 1 species